GACGAACGCUGGCGGCGUGCUUAACACAUGCAAGUCGAACGGAAAGGCCCUGCUUUUGUGGGGUGCUCGAGUGGCGAACGGGUGAGUAACACGUGAGUAACCUGCCCUUGACUUUGGGAUAACUUCAGGAAACUGGGGCUAAUACCGGAUAGGAGCUCCUGCUGCAUGGUGGGGGUUGGAAAGUUUCGGCGGUUGGGGAUGGACUCGCGGCUUAUCAGCUUGUUGGUGGGGUAGUGGCUUACCAAGGCUUUGACGGGUAGCCGGCCUGAGAGGGGGACCGGCCACAUUGAGACUGAGAUACGGCCCAGACUCCUACGGGAGGCAGCGGUGGAGAAUAUUGCACAGUGGGCGGAAGCCUGAUGCAGCAACGCCGCGUGCGGGAUGACGGCCUUCGGGUUGUAAACCGCUUUCGCCUGUGACGAAGCGUGAGUGACGGUAAUGGGUAAAGAAGCACCGGCUAACUACGUG
rnacentral:rRNA from 1 species